rnacentral:rRNA from 1 species
UUAGCAGUCCAGAAUAUUAGUCAAUGCUCGAAAGAGUGAACUAGCUACUGAAUCAAUUAAAUAAUUGAUAACAUAAGGGAAAAUAAUGAUAAUACCUUAUUAUAAGUGUCGUCCAAAACUGGUGCCAGAAGACUCGGUAAGGCCAGAGACACGAACGUUAAUCGUCUUAAUCAGGCGUAAAGGGUUUGUAGGCGGCUUUAAAAUUAAUUUAAUUAAAAUAAAUUUAAUAAAUUAAAAAUAAAAGCUAGAAUCAAAUAGAGGAUAUAUUAAAGAAUGCUUAGAGUAGGUCUGAUAUCCUUAGAUACUAAGUAGAAUAUUAAAGGCGAAAGCUUUUUUCCAAUUAUGAUUGACGCUCAGAAACGAAGGUGAGGAUAGGAAAUAGGAUUAGAUACCCAAAAUACCCCUCUCUGUCAACGAUGAAUGGUAGUUAUUAGUAAAAAUUUUAUUAAUGGCAAUGUUAACACGAUAACCAUUCCGCCUUGUGAGUACAACUGCAAAGUUAAAAACAAAAAAAUUAGUCGGUUUCGGAGCAAACGAAGUGAAGCAUGUUAUUUAAUUC